rnacentral:rRNA from 1 species
AUGCUAAUAUGAAAAGUAAAUUAAAUGCAAUAAACUAACAAUACAAACAGUGCUUGUCUAUAGUUUAAAUGCAACUGCUUGUUACUGUCGUUAAUGGCAUGGUUGUGAUUGGCCAGUGCAGCAUGUGACCCAGCUAGUAGGGGCAUGUUUAAUAAACACUGAUCAGCCUGUGGCAAUCCAUAUAAACUUGCGAUGCGAUUGACUGCGCCUACCAUGGUGACCACGUGUAACGGGGAACUAGGGUUCGAUUCCAUACAGGGACCCUGACAAACGGGUGCAACAUGCAAGGAAGGCAGCA